rnacentral:misc_RNA from 1 species
AAGUCGUAACAAGGUUUCGGAAGGAAUGCAAGUACUACGGAAACCAACAAGAGACAUACGACCUUUGUUCUAGAUGAGUCAAGUCGAGUUGCCUUUGCCUUCAAGUCUCUUAGUUCUUCUUUUCAAUCCGCAAAGAAGAGCAACAUCAACCAAUUGCGAUCGUUCCUUUGACGGUUGAUCGAUCGAAAGCAAGAACUAUUCGAUGUGAAUCGAUAGGCACUAUGUUUCGUUCGAUCUAUAGACGAGGAGUUCGUAACCAAGCUCUUAUGGUAUCAACAUAAGAGUGCAGUCCACAGACUAAACGUUGAUGUCUUGAUUGGAUAAGUGUAGCUAACGCUACACUUUUCUGGUCAAUUCAUUCUCUAUAUAACUAUAGAACAACUCUUAGCAACGGAUAUCUUGGUUCUC